GAUGAACGCUGGCGGCGCGCCUAACACAUGCAAGUCGAACGGCACCCCUCCUCGGAGGGAAGCGAGUGGCGAACGGCUGAGUAACACGUGGAGAACCUGCCCCCUCCCCCGGGAUAGCCGCCCGAAAGGACGGGUAAUACCGGAUACCCCGGGGUGCCGCAUGGCACCCCGGCUAAAGCUCCGACGGGAGGGGAUGGCUCCGCGGCCCAUCAGGUAGACGGCGGGGUGACGGCCCACCGUGCCGACAACGGGUAGCCGGGUUGAGAGACCGACCGGCCAGAUUGGGACUGAGACACGGCCCAGACUCCUACGGGAGGCAGCAGUGGGGAAUCUUGCGCAAUGGGGGGAACCCUGACGCAGCGACGCCGCGUGCGGGACGGAGGCCUUCGGGUCGUAAACCGCUUUCAGCAGGGAAGAGUCAAGACUGUACCUGCAGAAGAAGCCUCGGCUAACUACGUG
rnacentral:rRNA from 1 species